UGGGCAGAGGCACCUGGCCUGGUGAUUGGGGAAUGGGCUGGACUUCAAGCCCCAUUUGCCCUCUCUGCUGAGUGACCUGUGUGGCUUACAACCUGCGCAGCUGUACUCAGCAGCCCUGGUCACCUGGCUUAUAGAUGGAGGGGCCAGGAUUCAAACCCAGGACAGCAUUGAGUCCAGACCUCUGCUCUCAGUGAUUCUGCCAAUGCAUGGCCCACGCAAUGGUGGGAGCUCCAAGGCUGAGGGGCAGCGCUGCACUGAUGGUGGCCAGUCUUCUUGGCAAGCACAGCACAAAAUGCACCAAUCAUGAAGGAAGAGGUUGGUAAACUGGACCUCAUUAAAGUGAAGAGUCCCUGUUCCUCAAAAGACAGUUAUUAAAAGAGCAACAAGAAGAUGUCUGUACUACACUCAUCACAGAAGGCUGCACCCGGAAUACACAGAACUAGCAGAGAACCACAAGAAACAGGCCAACAAAAAUGUAUGGAAAUUGGAUACUUCACAGGGUGGAUAUCUGAAUGGCUAACAAAUAUGGAAUGUGCUCAUAUUAUCUGGAAAAUGUCAUUAAAACCACAGGAGACACCA